GAUGAACGCUGGCGGCGUGCCUAAUACAUGCAAGUCGAGCGAACAGACGAGGAGCUUGCUCCUCUGACGUUAGCGGCGGACGGGUGAGUAACACGUGGAUAACCUACCUAUAAGACUGGGAUAACUUCGGGAAACCGGAGCUAAUACCGGAUAAUAUAUUGAACCGCAUGGUUCAAUAGUGAAAGACGGUUUUGCUGUCACUUAUAGAUGGAUCCGCGCCGCAUUAGCUAGUUGGUAAGGUAACGGCUUACCAAGGCGACGAUGCGUAGCCGACCUGAGAGGGUGAUCGGCCACACUGGAACUGAGACACGGUCCAGACUCCUACGGGAGGCAGCAGUAGGGAAUCUUCCGCAAUGGGCGAAAGCCUGACGGAGCAACGCCGCGUGAGUGAUGAAGGUCUUCGGAUCGUAAAACUCUGUUAUUAGGGAAGAACAAAUGUGUAAGUAACGAUGCACGUCUUGACGGGACCUAAUCAGAAAGCCACGGCUAACUACGU
rnacentral:rRNA from 1 species